GGAGACUGUAGAGGACGUUGGACGGAGAGCAUCUCAUUCAUAGUUGCACGUAGCUUGGACCCAUUAUACAUGGUUGUAGUGCCCAGGCACGGCCACAUAAUUGCCACUCAAUGCACAAGUGCCAACGCCUUUGCUCAAAUCUUGCAAAAUGCACGGGCAUCUAAUAGAAGCUGUCCCAGUAUUUUGGAACUGGACACAGACAGACAUGCACACAGCUGCGCUCUCUCUCACACACGCCCACACACGCACCACAUCAUGUUUAUAGUUUUACUGUUAUUUUCAAAACCUUUUAGACUUACAUAUUAUAUUAUUAAUUAAAAUGUUAAACUAGGAUCGAGCGUGUUUCCUUUUCAAAUUAUACUCAGAAAUCGAUAUUUUUUUGGUUUCAAAUUAUACCUAGGGAUUGAUCAUGAUCUUUUUCAAUAUUUUCCUUGAGACGAACUCGAACUCAUUUGAUUUUAUUUUUAAAAAAAUCAGCUUCUCCCCAAUUUCAUUUCGUUAAUAACAGUGUAAUUAGUUAAGUGUUUAAAAUGCCACGACGUAAUUUUUGUUAGCACACAACAUCGUACAGACGGCAUAAUAAAAAUGCAAUUUUUCACAAUAUUGAGAGUUGAAACUCGAAUAAGAUCGUUUGCAUAGUGGAUCAGUCACCGUAUCAUUUGCUUUUAUACAGAACAAUGUAGAAGACGAUAUUAUUUCCAUCAUUUGUCAGUUAUUAUCUGACAAUUACGAAUGAUGAGCAAUUUGUAAAAAUGUUUUAUUGGUGGGUAGUUUUCCAUUGCAUCAGUUAAUUAAUAGUGAUAUGUGACAAUGUAGCGACUUUUCAGAUCCUAUGAUCUAAUCGAUUUGAAAUGAACUUUUUGCUUCUUUAGAAUAAAACAAAACAUUUUGAACUGAACAUUGUUAAAGUAGAAAUAAUCCGUACUGAGAUCACGUUUAGAAAGAUACAAUGUAUUAUGCUACGAAAUAUGAAUGUGAACUCCAGUAAAUUCUUGAUAUGCCAGUUUUAAGAUGUUUCUUCCAUUUAGUAUUUUAUUCUGACUCAUGCAUAUGGUUGUAUAUAUUUACACUACAUACAGUAUUUAUAACAUUUUAGAAGUACAUAUUUAUACAUUAAAAUAGAAAACAUUGAAUCCUGUUUUAAGCCCGUUCCAUUUCCCUAACAUCUGUUAUUUGACCAAGUGAUUCUUCGUGUAAAUGUUAUGUUGUGUCUUUGAAUUUUUCUGUGAAAUUGCGUUAAAUUUAAGACAUAAAACCGCAAUAUAAAGAAUUGGAAUACUUUCCAAAA
rnacentral:lncRNA from 1 species